GACGAACGCUGGCGGCGUGCCUAACACAUGCAAGUCGAACGGAACUUUUUUAAAGGAUUUCUUCGGAAUGAAUUUGAUUAAGUUUAGUGGCGGACGGGUGAGUAACGCGUGAGUAACCUGCCUCUAAGAGGGGAAUAACAUUCUGAAAAGAAUGCUAAUACCGCAUAAUAUAUAUUUAUCGCAUGGUAGAUAUAUCAAAGAUUUAUCGCUUAGAGAUGGACUCGCGUCCGAUUAGUUAGUUGGUGAGGUAACGGCUCACCAAGACCGCGAUCGGUAGCCGGACUGAGAGGUUGAACGGCCACAUUGGGACUGAGACACGGCCCAGACUCCUACGGGAGGCAGCAGUGGGGGAUAUUGCGCAAUGGGGGAAACCCUGACGCAGCAACGCCGCGUGAAGGAUGAAGGUCUUCGGAUUGUAAACUUCUUUUAUUAAGGACGAAGAA
rnacentral:rRNA from 1 species